rnacentral:rRNA from 1 species
ACCUAAUAGAUACCCGGGUAGUCCACGCCCUAAACGAUGCGAACUGGAUGUUGGGUACAUUACGGUACUCAGUGUCGAAAGCUAAACGCGUUAAGUUCGCCGCCUGGGGAGUACGGUCGCAAGACUGAAACUCAAAGGAAUUGACGGGGGCCCGCACAAGCGGUGGAGUAUGUGGUUUAAUUCGAUGCAACGCGAAGAACCUUACCUGGCCUUGACAUCUGUCGAAUCCUGCAGAGAUGCGGGAGUGCCGCAAGGAACGACAAGACAGGUGCUGCAUGGCUGUCGUCAGCUCGUGUCGUGAGAUGUUGGGUUAAGUCCCGCAACGAGCGCAACCCUUGUCCCUAGUUGCCAGCACGUAAUGGUGGGAACUCUAGGGAGACUGCCGGUGACAAA